GGGUCGGUAGCUCAGGGGUAGAGCAAUGGCCUUUUAAGCCACUGGUCGAGGGUUCGAUACCCUCCCGACCCA
rnacentral:tRNA from 1 species